UGCAUUCUACUAGAAAUGAGUAAUGCUACUGAUGAUAUCACAGAGUCUGGCUGGUCACGGUGUCUGUACAUACAGCAGAACAUCAACAGGAUAAUGAGAAAACCCUUCCUUUUCAGUGUUUUGCAGAAAAGGAAAAACCAAUAAAAUGCAGAAAAGUGACGUUCAGCGAUAUUGUGAGCAUUCGAAAUGUAUCAAGCCAUAAACGUGGUAAAACAGACCACCAGGACUCUGGAGUAAAGCUUGUUCAAGCAAGCGGAAGCGUGUCGGUGGAACCCAGAGACAUUUCCUCAUGGCCUGUGACGUUUUUUGACUUUGCAAAUGAGCGUGAGAGAGAAGCCUUUUUCCAGAGACUGAAACAAACACGCUCAUUUAAGUUUCCUGCCAAACCGAUAACCUCUGUCUGAGAGGACUUCAGUCCAAACAAGCUGAUCUAUAUACCCUUUUCUCACAAGUUAAGAAACCCAGAUUACGGGAUCAUCACCUCUGACCAGCAGAGGGCAGUCAACACGUGCUUAAAUAUAAUACAAAUAUUUGUAUGUGAGUUUAAUGGCCAUGCAGUGUUUUUAAGACAUCAAGAUGGAUGAAUCCGUGCGCACUGGAGUGAGACUGUUCAAACAAACACAAGAGCUGAAUAAUAUACUGAUCAAGAAGAACUUAACUGAUGAUUUGAAUGCAGAGUCAUCAAAAUGAGAAAGCAACAAUGCCUUGCAGUGAUUGUGGAAUAGAUGUUUACAUGCCAAAUAUAGGUUUUAAAUGGAAAGAGAGCUUUAUAAAUUAAAUUAUUUAAAUGAGAUGUUUAAGUAAAAGAUGUAUAAAUACUAAAAGACGAAUAAAGAACAUUUUUAUUGUGCA